AUUUUUUUUUUAGAAAAAGAAAUGCCCUUUUUUCAUUAGCUCCUUAAACUUAUUAUUGGCAUUUCGAUUCUUUCUAACUCACUCGCAUUUCAUUAUUUUAGUCUCUCUUCGCACUGCAUUCUCCACCACAGCCCCCUCCACUGCAACCGCCUCCUCACCAGUGCUCCACCAUAGCUCUCCUCCACCAGAGCCCUCAUCCACCGUAGACCUCGGCCUCCAACACGUACAACUCCUCGUUUUCCUCUCUUUCCCAAUGAAGCACACUCCAUGUUCUCCUCUGAGGCGACCUCAUCUGAAAUCAAUUGAGCCAAAUUAUGAUAUCAAUUGAGGUGAAUUCUCUCGGGUAAAGUUGAUUCUCUAUGCAAUUAUCGAAUCUCAACUUCGCAAUCUAGGGUUUAUUCUUAAUUUAGCUGAAGCAAGAUCUAGAUGGCAGAAUAUGAAAAACUUAGACAAGCAGGGAUAGAACAAAAUAGAAGCACAAUGAAGGAUUUGGGGGUUAUAUCCAUGGCUUAUGAAAUGAAAGAGUCGAUGAAGGGCUUGAAACAAACGAAUAAGCACUAACUCUUAUUAUUGCGUUAUUAUAUUUUUGCUCUAGAUGUUAUAUAUAUAUGAUGCUUUCACCUAUGGAAUUAAAUGGAUCAAGAUGAAGAAUUGGGAUACAAGUGAUGAUGCUACAAGAAGCACUUACUAUUACUGUUGUUUUGCUGCUGCUACUGCUGUUUUGAUGUUGUUACUGCUAUUUUUUUUGCUGCUACUGCUGUCUGUUGCUGCCACAGCUACUGCCAUUUGCUGCCACAGCUACUGCCAUUUGCUGCCACUACUGUCUGCUACUGAUGUUUGCUGUCACAUAAUGUUGUGUGCUGGUCUGUUAUAGCUGCUGCCGGUCUGCUAGCUAGCUGCUGCCGCUAUUUGCUGUUAUUAUCGCUGACUGUUUUUUUUGAAAUUUGGAAGUUUUUCUUAUUUCCUCACUUUUCCAAGCUAGAGAUCGAAGUUGAUUUUCUUUUUGUUUGGAUUAUUAUAUUGUUUGGCCAAACAUUAAAUUUGGUGUUUAUGAAUUUUUUUUAUAAGACUUGUGAAAUUAUUUCAAUCCAAAUUGUUGUCCA